GGGGAAUAUUGCACAAUGGGGGAAACCCUGAUGCAGCAACGCCGCGUGAGUGAUGAAGGUCUUCGGAUUGUAAAGCUCUGUCUUUAGGGACGAUAAUGACGGUACCUAAGGAGGAAGCCACGGCUAACUACGUGCCAGCAGCCGCGGUAAUACGUAGGUGGCAAGCGUUAUCCGGAUUUACUGGGCGUAAAGGGAGCGUAGGCGGAUAUUUAAGUGGGAUGUGAAAUACCCGAGCUUAACUUGGGAGCUGCAUUCCAAACUGGAUAUCUAGAGUGCAGGAGAGGAGAAUGGAAUUCCUAGUGUAGCGGUGAAAUGCGUAGAGAUUAGGAAGAACACCAGUGGCGAAGGCGAUUCUCUGGACUGUAACUGACGCUGAGGCUCGAAAGCGUGGGGAGCGAAC
rnacentral:rRNA from 1 species